ensembl:lncRNA
CCAAAAUGAACAACAACAACAACAACAAAAAAGACAAUAAAAGUAGACCAUACUAAUAUGAUAAGUCAUAUGGGCGUCAUAUGAUAGCUUUGUGUGAGAAAAGGGUGAAAUUUCAGACAUAUUUCACUGAAAAUCUCAAAUACUAAACGCAUUAUGUCACAUGGCUCCCACUGAAGCAAUUUGAUUGGCUACCAAUGACAUCACUGUCAAUUUAAUAGGCGCAUGUUUUGGGAGGAGCCUAAUCAUCCAGUCCUGUCAAUCAUUGCUACGAAUGUAUAUAAGCAGCAGUCAUUGCUCCGUUCCAGUGGCAAUUCUUCCAGCAUCUCUCCACCACCCCUUCUCCUCCUCUAAUUCUUUCUCUUUUUUCUCCAUACUGUUUCAUUAUAGGGUGGGUUCUUACUCUGAGCUCAAGCCAAGCCUCGGGUUUCGAGCCUCCUUCAUGGAAAGCAAGCCAAGUUUAUUUACCAUUACCUGCCAGGAUUGAAUGGGCAGGUGAACUCGUGAAAUGGAUAUCUGGACUGAAGAAUAAGAUUUGUGAACCUUAAUGGAAGACAACAUUUUCAAUAUACAGGACAUAAUAUGAGAAGCACCAACAUGCUAUAGUUGCUCAGAGGAGUACAAGCCAGUACAGGGAUAUAGUGAACAAAUUAACAAAGUCAGCUGUGAAGGGUUUUGUGAACCGGAUUUUUAACCUGAAGUAUCAUGAGGAUUAGUUAAUCUAAACUGUCCAGAACACUGAUGUCCACUUACAGAACUUAUUUCUAUGGAUACAGUUUGUACUAAAAGGAAUAAAGAAUGUACGAAGGGUUUGAAACUACAAAAUGGAUUUUGUUGUACUGACCCAGACAGGACGCUGUCCUCAUUCCUCUGACCUAUAGAGACACGCUUGUCAUAGCAUGAUCAUUAUGUGUCCAAGCAUCUGCUUCCUUCACCAGAAAGGGAAAUGUACACAGAGAAAGAGAUUUCCAAACCAGUGUAGAAGCCCACUGGGUUUGAUAGCCCACUUUAUCACUGGCUGUUGGCAACGUCACCACAUAUUGUUUCCUGGAAAGAGAACAAGCACAGACAUUGAAUACACAGGCCUCCAUCUGUGAACAAGGUCAACACCGAUCUGGUAAUAGUAGGAUUAGACCCAUCUAGUUUGGGUGAUUUAUUCUGCUGUUGCCCUUCCAUAUAUACACACAUUCAACAUACUGUUGACAUUAUGUGUUUAUUGACAUUGUGGGUUUAUAUGUGGCAAUGGCAAAACCAGAUCCAGCACUGUUUGAGAGAGUUUUUAUUGGAAAAUCAUGAAAUAUUACUUCAUUUAUGCCAUAAAAUCUUUGGUUCAAUUAUCCAAUCUACUAUUUCCAGGUUUAAGAUGUAUGAACUCCAUGAAACUGUAAAUACCGG